rnacentral:rRNA from 1 species
CAACAGCGUAUAUUUAAGUUGUUGCAGUUAAAAAGCUCGUAGUUGGAUUUCGGAUGGGACUUGCCGGUCCGUCGUUUCGAUGUGCACUGGCCAGUCCUAUCUUGUUGUCGGGGACUAGCUCCUGGGCUUCACUGUCCGGGACUAGGAGCUGACGAGGUUACUUUGAGUAAAUUAGAGUGUUCAAAGCAAGCCUACGCUCUGAAUACAUUAGCAUGGAAUAACACGAUAGGACUCUGGCUUAUCUUGUUGGUCUGUGAGACCAGAGUAAUGAUUAAGAGGGACAGUCGGGGGCAUUCGUAUUUCAUUGUCAGAGGUGAAAUUCUUGGAUUUAUGAAAGACGAACUUCUGCGAAAGCAUUUGUCAAGGAUGUUUUCAUUAA